GCGUGGGUCGGCCCGCUGUACUGGAUCCAGUGGGCUGGGGGACACCGCCGCCUACAUCCCCGCGGGCGGCGGACCGGUCCGGGAGGCGAACUCCGCCUCCCGGACUGUG
rfam:Actinobacteria bacterium OK006 ctg179, whole genome shotgun sequence.